UUGGUGAGGUAAAGGCUUACCAAGGCUUCGAUCAGUAGCUGGUCUGAGAGGACGACCAGCCACACUGGGACUGAGACACGGCCCAGACUCCUACGGGAGGCAGCAGUGGGGAAUUUUGGACAAUGGGGGCAACCCUGAUCCAGCCAUGCCGCGUGAGUGAAGAAGGCCUUCGGGUUGUAAAGCUCUUUCAGCCGGAACGAAACGGUCACGGUUAAUAACUGUGAUCACUGACGGUACCGGAAGAAGAAGCACCGGCUAACUACGUGCCAGCAGCCGCGGUAAUACGUAGGGUGCGAGCGUUAAUCGGAAUUACUGGGCGUAAAGCGUGCGCAGGCGGUUUUGUAAGUCAGAUGUGAAAUCCCCGGGCUUAACCUGGGAACUGCGUUUGAAACUCCAAGGCUAGAGUGUGGCAGAGGGGGGUGGAAUUCCCCGUGUGAGCAGUGAAAUGCGUAAGAGAUGUGGAGGAACACCGAUGGCGAAGGCAGCCCCCUGGGUUAACACUUGACGCUCAGGCACGAAAGCGUUGGGGAGCAAACAGGAUUAGAUACCCUGGUAGUCCACGCCCUAAACGAUGUCAACUAGUUGUCGGGCCUUAACGGGCUUG
rnacentral:rRNA from 1 species